rnacentral:rRNA from 1 species
AGCCAUGCGAGUCAACAUAGCAAUACGUGGCAUACGGCUCAGUAACACGUAGUCAACAUGCCCAGGGGACGUGGAUAACCUCGGGAAACUGAGGAUAAACCGCGAUAGGUCAUCACUUCUGGAAUGGGUAAUGACUUAAACCUAUAUGGCCCCUGGAUUGGACUGCGGCCGAUCAGGCUGUUGGUGAGGUAAUGGCCCACCAAACCUGUAACCGGUACGGGCUCUGAGAGGAGGAGCCCGGAGAUGGGCACUGAGACAAGGGCCCAGGCCCUAUGGGGCGCAGCAGGCGCGAAACCUCUGCAAUAGGCGAAAGCUUGACAGGGUUACUCUGAGUGAUUUCCGUUAAGGAGACCUUUUGGCACCUCUAAAAAUGGUGCAGAAUAAGGGGUGGGCAAGUCUGGUGUCAGCCGCCGCGGUAAUACCAGCACCCCGAGUGGUCGGGACGUUUAUUGGGCCUAAAGCAUCCGUAGCCGGUUCUACAAGUCUUCCGUUAAAUCCACCUGCUUAACAGAUGGGCUGCGGAAGAUACUAUAGAGCUAGGAGGCGGGAGAGGCAAGCGGUACUCGAUGGGUAGGGGUAAAAUCCGUU